GAGUGGCGAACGGGUGAGUAACACGUGGGUAACCUGCCCAGAAGUAGGGGAUAACACCUGGAAACAGAUGCUAAUACCGUAUAACAGAGAAAACCGCAUGGUUUUCUUUUAAAAGAUGGCUCUGCUAUCACUUCUGGAUGGACCCGCGGCGUAUUAGCUAGUUGGUGAGGUAAAGGCUCACCAAGGCAGUGAUACGUAGCCGACCUGAGAGGGUAAUCGGCCACAUUGGGACUGAGACACGGCCCAGACUCCUACGGGAGGCAGCAGUAGGGAAUCUUCCACAAUGGACGCAAGUCUGAUGGAGCAACGCCGCGUGAGUGAAGAAGGGUUUCGGCUCGUAAAGCUCUGUUGUUAAAGAAGAACGUGGGUAAGAGUAACUGUUUACCCAGUGACGGUAUUUAACCAGAAAGCCACGGCUAACUACGUGCCAGCAGCCGCGGUAAUACGUAGGUGGCAAGCGUUAUCCGGAUUUAUUGGGCGUAAAGCGAGCGCAGGCGGUCUUUUAAGUCUAAUGUGAAAGCCUUCGGCUCAACCGAAGAAGUGCAUUGGAAACUGGGAGACUUGAGUGCAGAAGAGGACAGUGGAACUCCAUGUGUAGCGGUGAAAUGCGUAGAUAUAUGGAAGAACACCAGUGGCGAAGGCGGCUGUCUGGUCUGCAACUGACGCUGAGGCUCGAAAGCAUGGGUAGCGAACAGGAUUAGAUACCCUGGUAGUCCAUGCCGUAAACGAUGAUUACUAAGUGUUGGAGGGUUUCCGCCCUUCAGUGCUGCAGCUAACGCAUUAAGUAAUCCGCCUGGGGAGUACGACCGCAAGGUUGAAACUCAAAAGAAUUGACGGGGGCCCGCACAAGCGGUGGAGCAUGUGGUUUAAUUCGAAGCUACGCGAAGAACCUUACCAGGUCUUGACAUCUUCUGACAGUCUAAGAGAUUAGAGGUUCCCUUCGGGGACAGAAUGACAGGUGGUGCAUGGUUGUCGUCAGCUCGUGUCGUGAGAUGUUGGGUUAAGUCCCGCAACGAGCGCAACCCUUAUUACUAGUUGCCAGCAUUAAGUUGGGCACUCUAGUGAGACUGCCGGUGACAAACCGGAGGAAGGUGGGGACGACGUCAAAUCAUCAUGCCCCUUAUGACCUGGGCUACACACGUGCUACAAUGGAUGGUACAACGAGUCGCGAGACCGCGAGGUUAAGCUAAUCUCUUAAAACCAUUCUCAGUUCGGACUGUAGGCUGCAACUCGCCUACACGAAGUCGGAAUCGCUAGUAAUCGCGGAUCAGCAUGCCGCGGUGAAUACGUUCCCGGGCCUUGUACACACCGCCCGUCACACCAUGAGAGUUUGUAACACCCAAAGCCGGUGGG
rnacentral:rRNA from 1 species